GAUGAAGAACGUAGCGAAAUGCGAUACGUAAUGUGAAUUGCAGAAUUCAGUGAAUCAUCGAGUCUUUGAACGCACAUUGCGCCCCCUGGUAUUCCGGGGGGCAUGCCUGUCCGAGCGUCAUUGCUGCCCUCAAGCACGGCUUGUGUGUUGGGCCUCCGUCCUCCUCCCGGGGGACGGGCCCGAAAGGCAGCGGCGGCACCGCGUCCGGUCCUCGAGCGUAUGGGGCUUCGUCACCCGCUCUUGUAGGCCCGGUCGGCGCUUGCCGGCACAUCAAUCUUUUUUCCAGGUUGACCUCGGAUCAGGUAGGGAUACCCGCUGAACUUAAGCAUAUCAAUAAGCGGAGGA
rnacentral:misc_RNA from 1 species